rnacentral:rRNA from 1 species
GUGACCUCGGAUCAAGUAAGGAUCCACCGGUU